AACGAACGCUGGCGGCAGGCUUAACACAUGCAAGUCGAACGGGCGUAGCAAUACGUCAGUGGCAGACGGGUGAGUAACACGUGGGAAUAUCCCUUUCAGCUCGGAAUAACUCAGGGAAACUUGAGCUAAUACCGAAUACGUCCUUCGGGAGAAAGAUUUAUCACUGAGAGAUUAGCCCGCGUCUGAUUAGCUAGUUGGUGAGGUAAUGGCUCACCAAGGCGACGAUCAGUAGCUGGUCUGAGAGGAUGAUCAGCCACACUGGGACUGAGACACGGCCCAGACUCCUACGGGAGGCAGCAGUGGGGAAUAUUGGACAAUGGGGGCAACCCUGAUCCAGCCAUGCCGCGUGAGUGAUGAAGGCCUUAGGGUUGUAAAGCUCUUUUGCUAGGGAAGAUAAUGACUGUACCUAAAGAAUAAGCCCCGGCUAACUUCGUGCCAGCAGCCGCCGUAA
rnacentral:rRNA from 1 species